GAUAAUAAUAUUGUUCCCUACUUCGAUGCCAGCAGUUGGAAAUUUUGUUAGCUUAGUGUAAGAAACAAAUCUAUUCCCAUACAUGUGCUCCUUGCACUUCCUCCUUUUGUGGGAUCUUAAUAUAAAUAGUUGAUGUCAAUUUUCUUUUGGUUUAUGUAACAUAACUGUUGGGUUUUCUCAUAAUUUCAAGUUAUAAACAUCAUCUUCCACUAUUCAUAGCUGAUUUCCUUCAUUUAUUUCUCUUGUCAUUAAUCAAACAGUCUAGCCUAUUCAAAGGCCUAGCAACUACAAUUUAUGUGUGAUAACAUGAUAUAAUUAUUGACCUUGUUUCUGUAUGUUCCAUUUUCUUUCUUUCUUUCUUUUCUAUGAAUCAAAAAGGUCCAAUUCUUUUUUUCUUCCUUUUUUCAGUGGAGGGGUUUGAAGAAGUGGUAUGGUAACGUAUGUACAAUUAUGAGUCUACAUUUCCUUCACAUAUGAAGCGUGAGAAUUGGCUAAGCCUGAGUGGAGGAUAUUGAGUUCUUGCAAAACAUGUUGUUUCAUUUGAUACUCUGCAAUUCUACAAACAAGAUAUUUACUGAUACAUAGAAUAAGUUGGUUUUGCACUCCUAUUUAAGAACUCUUAUUUAGAUCACAUAUCUUCAAAAAGAAGAAGGCAGAUGAAGCCCUUUUGCAACUUAUUUAAGCUUUUUGUUGCAGAGAUAAAACAUUCUUCUUUGCCAUUUAGUCCUCUUUGAAGCUAUAUGUUUUCUUUUUCUUUUCUUGAGACAGAAGCAAAAUGUAACUGAUUGCGUUAAGAUAAGUGGGAAUGCAGAAAAGAAAAAACAAAGACAGACAAGUAAUCAACUUAUAUCAACUUUUAGAUUGAGAAGUUCAAAGAAAGGCAGAACUUUCUUUCUGUGUUUCAAAGAAUCAGCUUCAAAUCAGUCUUCUGCAAAAAACCUGAUACUCUUGAUAGUACUGCUUUCAUUUUUGAACACCUAGCCUAGAAUGGAUGGAAGUUUGAAUAAUAGUACUGCUUUCAUUUCUGAAACCCUAGUGUUAGGUGUUAGAAUUCAUGCUCCAUCAAGCUUUUUAGAAUAUUUCCGGACGAUUUCCAUCGAUUCUUUUAAACUGUCCUGACAAAUCCUAGUUCCUCUUCUUAUGAGGGCCUUUGAAAAUCUUAAGUGCCCUGGACCAUAACAUUUCAUUUGGCUCUCUAUUACCACGUGGUUUAUUGGUAUAAAAUCCUAAUCUUUCUUCAAUUUAUUUACUCUUUAGCUCUUUUAAGCUUUUUAAACUUUUUAGCAACCUUAGUUAAUUUGUUAUGCACAAUUAUGUCUACAUUUUUAUGUCCAUUACACUUGUCAUCAGUGCAUAGACCUUGUUAAUAAUCUUGCAUUAUCAGCCAUAUGAAAAAUGCCAUCUUUAUUAGAAUCUUGUAUUUUUUUUUAUUUUAAUCUCAUUUUUCCCCCUUGUCUUAUAAAGGAAAUCUUGAUCUUUUAUAACAACUUAGAAGUACCUCUUCACCUGCACUGCUUAAAUCUUAAUUAUUAGAUUUGUCUAUCUGAUAUUUUAUAUAUAUUCAAGCUCAGGUGAUAUCCCUUCAAAAUAUAUACUCUAUCCUCCAAAAGCUUUUUCUAGUUUUCCAACUUAGAAUUUAACAUUAUUUUUAAUCUAUAAUUGAAUUUAUUUUUUUAAGCUUAUUAUCUCUUAUAUCAACAUUAUAUAAUCCACAGAUAGCACAUGAUACCACUUAGUUUCACCCUAAUUGUCUCAAUUCUAACUCAUGGCUUGGUAUUUAAAAGAGCUUAUACAAAGAGGGAAAUGGAAUAGUUAUACCAAAUUUAUGCCAGGUGAAGUUGAAAUUUUUCAAUAUAUUAUUAAGGAUAACCCAACCACCUGCAUAUAUAAUGCAUAAUAAUCUUAUAGGUCAACUUUCUGAACAUGCAAUACUGAUCAUAUUACUUCAUACCUGGUUUCGUGGUCAAAGUGGUUUGGAAUUCAACCAAUUCAUAUAUCUAAUUGUUGGAUCAUCGCAAAUCCUGAUUUUAUAAAAUUCUCAGGAUGUAGACUCUGGUAAGGUUAAGUUUAUUUUUAUCUUAAUGUAGAUCCACUGGCAAAUAUCCAAGAUAAGAUGUUGCCUUUUGUUUCCAAUCAAUUUUGAUUACAUGCUUUUGUUACUUCCAAAAAAUAACAAUAUGUUUUACCAGUCUAAAUCUUCCAUGCGUUCCAGUUGAUAUACCAAGAAGCAGAAAAACCCAGAAAAGCAUGUGUAUGCUUAUGUCAACUCAUGUUCUCUAUCUAAAUCAGCUAAGAUUAACAACCAUGCUUGCUUAAACAUAGGCAUAUGAUUUGCUUGCUUUUCUUCCAGGCUUGUUGGGUAUGGUUAUAGGAAAAAUUUUUACUCAGUCCUUAGACUACUCUUUCAAUUUCAGAUGUGCAGAUUAAGAAAUGUCAAUAUAUUCUUCUAGUGAGCUGUCAUUUUUAGUAUGGACUACAAUUUCAUAUAGGAACACCCAUCAAUAUGUUCAGGUUUCUACCUUUAGACAUGCACAAAAUUUUGAAACUGUUUCAGGGUUAUGUCAGGAAUUGGAAUCUGAUUGGAUGAGUGGCAUCUUCCAGGAAUUGCCUAUUUAACUAGGGACUACCAUAAUGUUGAGUCUCUGAUUAUUAACGUCAGUGAUCUGAGACCAUCUUCGGUAUGUUCUCAAACCAUACUUAACACAUUUUAAUUCCUCAUUUGAUUGUUUUGCUUUGACAUUUCAGAGAUUGGAGAACAACAUGGAUAGUUUGAAGAGAGUGAGAAUUGGAAAAAGUGCCCUAUCUUCCCACUUGCUUCUUCUUUUCAGUACCAAAUCCACUUCUUGCAUUGGUGGACCAAGUUUCAUCCUCAAAAACUUCCUAAAGGACUGCAACAAGGAAAUUAAGCUGGUAUGAUUAUUCUCAAGAGUUGCAAGAUGCUUGAUAACAUGUAUAUUGACAUCACCUGUGCUGCAUCACCAUUUAAAUCUGAAUUGUUUCUUGGUCUUAAAGAAAAAACUGUUAGUUUUAUCAAGAGCUUCAGUAAAUGCUUAAAUGUACUAUUAUAAGAAUCAAAAGUUGAUUAUUUGAAACUUUGAACAAUAGAUCCAUACCUGUCAAUCAUGAAGCUCAAAUAAG
rnacentral:lncRNA from 1 species